GACGAACGCUGGCGGCGUGCUUAACACAUGCAAGUCGAACGGAAAGGCCCUGCUUGCAGGGUACUCGAGUGGCGAACGGGUGAGUAACACGUGGGUGAUCUGCCCUGCACUUCGGGAUAAGCUUGGGAAACUGGGUCUAAUACCGGAUAGGAGCCAUCUUUAGUGUGGUGGUUGGAAAGUUUUUUCGGUGUAGGGUGAGCUCGCGGCCUAUCAGCUUGUUGGUGGGGUAAUGGCCUACCAAGGCGGCGACGGGUAGCCGGCCUGAGAGGGUGUACGGCCACAUUGGGACUGAGAUACGGCCCAGACUCCUACGGGAGGCAGCAGUGGGGAAUAUUGCACAAUGGGCGCAAGCCUGAUGCAGCGACGCCGCGUGGGGGAUGAAGGCCUUCGGGUUGUAAACUCCUUUCGCUAGGGACGAAGCUUUGUUGUGACGGUACCUAGAUAAGAAGCACCGGCUAACUACGUG
rnacentral:rRNA from 1 species